rnacentral:rRNA from 1 species
GUCGAGAAUCUUUCACAAUGGGGGCAACCCUGAUGGAGCGACGCCGCGUGGAGGAUAAGGUCUUCGGAUUGUAAACUCCUGUCAUGCGUGAACAAGGUUGCUUGGUUAAUACCUGGGCAAAUUGAUGGUAACGCAAGAGGAAGAGACGGCUAACUCUGUGCCAGCAGCCGCGGUAAUACAGAGGUCUCAAGCGUUGUUCGGAAUCACUGGGCGUAAAGGGUGCGUAGGUGGCGUGGUAAGUCAGAUGUGAAAGCCCGGGGCUCAACCUCGGAACUGCAUCCGAUACUGCCAUGCUAGAGUACUGGAGAGGUGACUAGAAUUCUCGGUGUAGCAGUGAAAUGCGUAGAUAUCGAGAGGAAUACCAAAGGCGUAGGCAGGUCACUGGACAGUUACUGACACUGAGGCACGAAGGCCAGGGGAGCGAACGGGAUUAGAUACCCUUGUAGUCC